rnacentral:rRNA from 1 species
GGUGAACAAGGCCUUCSGGUUGUAAAGCCCUUUCGGCAGGGAAGAAAUCGGGGGGGCGAAUAACUCCGCUGGAUGACGGUACCUGCAGAAGAAGCACCGGCUAACUACGUGCCAGCAGCCGCGGUAAUACGUAGGGUGCGAGCGUUAAACGGUUUUACUGGGCGUAAAGCGUGCGCAGGCGGCCCGUUAAGACAGGUGUGAAAUCCCUGGGCUCAACCUAGGAAUUGCGCUUGUGACUGGCGGGCUAGAGUACGGUAGAGGAGGGUGGAAUUCCUGGUGUAGCAGUGAAAUGCGUAGAGAUCAGGAGGAACACCGACGGCGAAGGCAGCCCCCUGGGCCUGUACUGACGCUCAUGCACGAAAGCGUGGGGAGCAAACAGGAUUAGAUACCCUGGUAGUCCACGCCCUAAACGAUGGGUACUAGUCGUAUGGUGCAUUGAAGCGCUGAGUGGCGAAGCUAACGCGUGAAGCACCCCGCCUGGGGAGUACGGCCGCAAGGUUGAAACUCAAAG